rnacentral:tRNA from 1 species
GGGGACAUGGCUCAGUGGCAGAGUGCUUGCUUGGCAUGCAGAAGGUCCCUGGUUCUAUGCCUGACAUCUUCA